CCCCAUCUACUUCAUUCUUCCGGUAUUAUGGCCGCUUGCAGUGUAAGGGACGACGAGUGUGAAAUGUUAUGAUUAUGAAAAGUUUUCGGUGAAACCGGUGGAUUAAGGAUGCUCGUGACCGUGAUGUUACGGUUUCCCGUCUGUCGGCCGUCAGUUCGGGCAGUGCUUCACUGUCAGAGGCGCUUUAGCAAGAUACAGGCAUCCCCUGCUCUGUCUGAGCGUGUGCGGGUGUUUGAGUCUCUCAGAGAGAGGCAGGGACAGCAGAGGACAAGCGGCACCGCGAAACAGGCCUUCAGCGUCCGAUUGGCUGAUGGCAGGACGAUGAAUGGCACCACAGGCGUGACCACGCCGUCAAUCAUCGCUCAAAACGCACGUGUGAAAGGUGCUCUGGUCUGCAGGGUGAAUGGAGAGCUGUGGGAGCUGCUUCGCCCCCUGGAGGCUGACUGUGAAUUACAGCUGCUAGGCUUCAACACCACAGAGGGCAAACAGGCGGUGUGGAGGACAGGAGCGUGUGUUGUGGGGUGGGUGUUAGAGAGGGUGUUUGGGGUGGAAGUGUGCAGAGAGGGUGUGUCAGAGUCUGGCCUCUACUGUGACCACCUCCCGGAGAACAGUGCCCUGUCCCUAGCUGAGCUAGAGGAGAGAUGUAAGGAGGCCGCUGGCCAGAAGCUUCCUCUCUCCAGACUGGAGCUGAACAGGCAGGAAGUUACAGAGCUCUUCCAGGACAAUGCUCUGAGACUCCAGUUGAUUGAAGAACAGAUGAGUGGACCUACUGUCACAGUCUACAGGUGUGGAGACAGCAUAGGAGUCUGCAAUGGUCCUCUCCUCCCUAACACUGGUCUCCUCAAGGUCUUCAAGAUGCUGCAGGUGUCUCCCGUAACGUUGACCAAUCCUGUUGGCAUGUCAGGCGUGAUGCGUGUGAUGGGUGUGGCCUUCCCAGGAGAGAUGGAGAGGGAGGAGUGGGAGAGGGAACAGGAGGAGACACGGAAGAGAGACCACAGACGCAUCGGCAAGGACCAGGAGCUGUUCUUCUUUAAUGACGUCAGUCCUGGAAGCUGCUUCUUCCUGCCUAAAGGAGCUCACAUCUACAACACACUCGCUGACUUUAUCAAGACUGAGUACAGAAGGCGUGGCUUCCAUGAGGUUGUGACCCCUACUCUAUACAGCACUGCACUGUGGGAGCGUUCGGGUCACUGGGAACACUACAGUGAAAACAUGUUUACUGUGACCGGUGACACACACACCUAUGCACUCAAACCCAUGAACUGUCCUGCACACUGUCUGAUGUUUGAGCAGCGUGUAAGGUCAUGGAGGGAGCUCCCGUUGCGUUGGGCAGAUUUCGGGGCACUGCAUCGGAACGAGCUGUCCGGCGCUCUGGGUGGUCUCACCCGGGUCCGCAGGUUCUGCCAGGACGACGCACACAUCUUCUGCACUCCCGAACAGUUGGAGGAGGAGAUCAUAGCGUGUUUGGACUUUGUGAGGAGUGUGUAUCGAGUUUUUGGAUUCUCCUUCCACUGUCUCCUCUCCACCCGACCUACACCCUGCCUGGGGGAGCCUGCACUGUGGGACCAUGCUGAGCAGCAGUUGGAGAGGAGUCUGCAGCAGUUUGGAGAGCGCUGGCAGUUCAACCCAGGAGAUGGAGCGUUCUACGGGCCGAAGAUUGACAUCCAGAUCAAGGACGCCAUUGGUCGACAGCACCAGUGUGCCACCAUCCAAUUGGACUUCCAGCUACCAAUCAGAUUUGACCUGCAGUAUGUGGGGGGGGAUGGAGAGACCCACAGGCCAGUGAUGGUCCACAGAGCUGUUCUGGGAUCACUGGAACGCAUGAUCGCUAUAUUGGCUGAGAAUUUUUCGGGGAAAUGGCCUCUGUGGUUGUCUCCAGCGCAGGUCAUGAUUAUUCCUGUAGGGGGAGGUAGUGAGUCAUAUGCGCAACAGGUCAGGACUCAUAAUAUCAGAUCUGGGUCCAUAUGUAUCAAGUGUCUCAGAGUAGAAGUGCUGAUUUAGGGUCAGUUUUGCAUUUUGGAUCUCAAUUCUUAAGAUUUAAUGAAAAGGAGGAACCUGGUCCUAGAUCAGCACUCCUGCUCUGAGACACAUUAUACACAUGGCCCUUGUACUGCAGGCUGAAAUCAUACCCCCCCCCCCCCCAUACACGCGACCAAACACAACAUGACUCAGCACACAUCAAAAGCUGUACCCCUCAGUGACUCCAGAGGUCGAAGGCUAAUCCAACACUGUACCCAUACACGGUUCAUGACUCUGAAAAGGACUUGAUUUGAGGUUAAUUUUGAUCAGGUUUUUGUACAUGCCACUACUCACAUAUCAAUAUAUUCUACAAGUUCCAUCUGCCACAUGAUUAAUGAGCCAGCAGCAGGUAAGACCAGACACAGGAGAUAACAUGGAAUAUAGACAUGUAAUGUUUCUGAGGCCUUUAUCAGGACACGGCUCCUGUUUCUGUCUUGACUUGUUGUGACUGGCAGGCUUUUUACAAGACAUUGCCAAUACAUCCUCCUGUAUGUAAUGCGCAUGUAGCCCCAGGGGAGGAGAAUCUAUCAACACUGCUGAUCUGGGGUCUGUCAUGAUGAUACAUAGCCAGGUGGUCCGACAGUUCCGCGAGGCUGGCUUCAUGGCUGACGCGGAUGAUGACCAGGGUGCCACCUUAAAUAAAAAGAUCCGCUCUGCACAGCUGGCCCAGUACAACUACAUAUUUGUGGUAGGCGAGAAGGAGUGUGUGAGUGGCACGGUGAAUGUAAGGACCAGAGGGGGGAAGCAGCUAGGGAGGAGACUGACAGAGAAGGUCCUGGCAUCACUCACACACCUACGAGAUGCACGGAGCAACCAGGAUGACUUCUAACACACACACCUGUUGUGGAUGAAGAAUUGCUCACUGUACUUUUGUAAUAAAAUAUAAUAAUUUAAA